rnacentral:rRNA from 1 species
UCGAGAAUCAUCCACAAUGCAGGCAACUGUGAUGGUGUGACGUCGCGUGGUUGAAGACGUGCUUCGGCAUGUAAAAACCUUUUCUGGGGGAAGAAGUUUUAUUGACAUUACCCCAGGAAUAAGGGGCUCCCAAGCUCGUGCCAGCAGGAGCGGUAACACGAGCGCCCCGAGCGUUAUCCGGAAUCACUGGGCGUAAAGGGUGUGCAGGCGGUCUGUCUAGUCUCAUAUGAAAGCUCCGUGCUCAACACGGAACCUGUAUGGGAAACGGGCAGACUAGAGGACGCGAGAGGUCUGUGGAACCGACGGUGUAGGGGUGAAAUCCGUUGAUAUCGUCGGGAACACCGAAAGCGAAAGCAGCAGGCUGGCGCGUUCCUGACGCUCAGACACGAAAGCCAGGGUCGCGAACC